rnacentral:rRNA from 1 species
GACGAACGCUGGCGGCGUGCUUAACACAUGCAAGUCGAACGGAAAGGCCCUGCUUUUGUGGGGUGCUCGAGUGGCGAACGGGUGAGUAACACGUGAGUAACCUGCCCUUGACUUUGGGAUAACUUCAGGAAACUGGGGCUAAUACCGGAUAGGAGCUCCUGCUGCAUGGUGGGGGUUGGAAAGUUUCGGCGGUUGGGGAUGGACUCGCGGCUUAUCAGCUUGUUGGUGGGGUAGUGGCUUACCAAGGCUUUGACGGGUAGCCGGCCUGAGAGGGUGACCGGCCACAUUGGGACUGAGAUACGGCCCAGACUCCUACGGGAGGCAGCAGUGGGGAAUAGUGCACAAUGGGCGGAAGCCUGAUGCAGCAACGCCGCGUGCGGGAUGACGGCCUUCGGGUUGUAAACCGCUUUCGCCUGUGACGAAGCGUGAGGGACGGUAAUGGGUAAAGAAGCACCGGCUAACUACG